rnacentral:rRNA from 1 species
GAUCUUCGGAACGGGUUAGUGGCGCACGGGUGAGUAACACGUAGGUGACCUACCCCAGAGUGGAGGAUAACUUCUCGAAAGAGAGGCUAAUACCGCAUACACUCGGUCAUUCAUUUGGCCGAGCAAAGCUCCGGCGCUUUGGGACGGGCCUGCGUCCGAUUAGCUAGUUGGUAGGGUAAUGGCUUACCAAGGCUUUGAUCGGUAGCUGGUCUGAGAGGACGAUCAGCCACACUGGCACUGACACACGGGCCAGACUCCUACGGGAGGCAGCAGUGAGGAAUAUUGGGCAAUGGGCGAAAGCCUGACCCAGCAACGCCGCGUGAGGGAUGAAGGCCUUCGGGUUGUAAACCUCUUUUCUGGGAGAAGAGACAAGGACGGUAUCCCAGGAAUAAGUCUCGGCUAACUACGUGCCAGCAGCCGCGGUAAUACGUAGGAGGCAAGCGUUAUCCGGAUUCACUGGGCGUAAAGCGCACGCAGGCGGUCAUGUAAGUCGGACGUGAAAGCUCCUGGCUCAACUGGGAGAGGUCGUUCGAUACUGCAUGGCUUGAGGUUGGGAGAGGGAAGCGGAAUUCCCGGUGUAGUGGUGGAAUGCGUAGAUAUCGGGAGGAACACCAGUGGCGAAAGCGGCUUCCUGGCCCAUACCUGACGCUCAGGUGCGAAAGCGUGGGGAGCGAACGGGAUUAGAUACCCCGGUAGUCCACGCUGUAAACGAUGCGAACUAGGUGUUGGUAGUAUUAAUCCUAUCAGUGCCGUAGCUAACGCGAUAAGUUCGCCGCCUGGGGACUACGGCCGCAAGGCUAAAACUCAAAGGAAUUGACGGGGGCCCGCACAAGCAGCGG